rnacentral:rRNA from 1 species
AGAGUUUGAUCCUGGCUCAGGACGAACGCUGGCGGCGCGCCUAACACAUGCAAGUCGAACGGAGUCAAGAGGAGCUUGCUUUUCUUGACUUAGUGGCGAACGGGUGAGUAACGCGUGAGUAACCUGCCCUGGAGUGGGGGACAACAGUUGGAAACGACUGCUAAUACCGCAUAAGCCCACGGAUCCGCAUGGAUCUGCGGGAAAAGGAUUUAUUCGCUUCAGGAUGGACUCGCGUCCAAUUAGCUAGUUGGUGAGGUAACGGCCCACCAAGGCGACGAUUGGUAGCCGGACUGAGAGGUUGAACGGCCACAUUGGGACUGAGACACGGCCCAGACUCCUACGGGAGGCAGCAGUGGGGGAUAUUGCACAAUGGGGGAAACCCUGAUGCAGCGACGCCGCGUGGAGGAAGAAGGUUUUCGGAUUGUAAACUCCUGUCGUUAGGGACGAUAAUGACGGUACCUAACAAGAAAGCACCGGCUAACUACGUGCCAGCAGCCGCGGUAAAACGUAGGGUGCAAGCGUUGUCCGGAAUUACUGGGUGUAAAGGGAGCGCAGGCGGACCGGCAAGUUGGAAGUGAAAACUAUGGGCUCAACCCAUAAAUUGCUUUCAAAACUGCUGGCCUUGAGUAGUGCAGAGGUAGGUGGAAUUCCCGGUGUAGCGGUGGAAUGCGUAGAUAUCGGGAGGAACACCAGUGGCGAAGGCGACCUACUGGGCACCAACUGACGCUGAGGCUCGAAAGCAUGGGUAGCAAGCAGGAUUAGAUACCCUGGUAGUCCAUGCCGUAAACGAUGAUUACUAGGUGUUGGAGGAUUGACCCCUUCAGUGCCGCAGUUAACACAAUAAGUAAUCCACCUGGGGAGUACGACCGCAAGGUUGAAACUCAAAGGAAUCGACGGGGGCCCGCACAAGCAGUGGAGUAUGUGGUUUAAUUCGAAGCAACGCGAAGAACCUUACCAGGUCUUGACAUCCGAUGCAUAGCUUAGAGAUAAGUGAAGUCCUUCGGGACAUCGAGACAGGUGGUGCAUGGUUGUCGUCAGCUCGUGUCGUGAGAUGUUGGGUUAAGUCCCGCAACGAGCGCAACCCUUAUUGCCAGUUACUACGCAAGAGGACUCUGGCGAGACUGCCGUUGACAAAACGGAGGAAGGUGGGGAUGACGUCAAAUCAUCAUGCCCUUUAUGACCUGGGCUACACACGUACUACAAUGGCGUUUAACAAAGAGAAGCAAGACCGCGAGGUGAGCAAAACUCAAAAACAACGUCUCAGUUCAGAUUGCAGGCUGCAACUCGCCUGCAUGAAGUCGGAAUUGCUAGUAAUCGCGGAUCAGCAUGCCGCGGUGAAUACGUUCCCGGGCCUUGUACACACCGCCCGUCACACCAUGGGAGUCAGUAACGCCCGAAGUCAGUGACCUAACUGUAAAGAAGGAGCUGCCGAAGGCGGGACCGAUGACUGGGGUGAAGUCGUAACAAGGUA